rnacentral:rRNA from 1 species
AUCAAAACAACUAGCCCAUAAAAAAAUCAAUCAAUAACCAUCAAUACCCAAAAAUAACCUAUUUACUAAAAACUAAACCAUUUUUUUACCUUAGUAUGGGAGACAGAAAAGGAAAAGUGAGCAAUAGAAAAAGUACCGCAAGGGAAUGCUGAAAGAAUAAUGAAAAAUUUAUAAGGAUAAAAAAAGCAGAGACUAAUCCUCGUACCUUUUGCAUCAUGAUUUAGCAAGCAAUAUUCAAGCAAAGAGCACUUUAGUUUGAAAUCCCGAAACCUAGUGAGCUACUCCAAGACAGCCUAGAAUAUAGGGCAAACCCGUCUCUGUAGCAAAAGAGUGGGAAGAGCUUUGAGUAGAGAUGAAAAGUCUACCGAACAGGGUGAUAGCUGGUUGCCUGUAAAAUGAAUAGAAGUUCAGCCUUUUAUAUUCUUAAUUUAUAAACAUAAUAAAACACCAUAAUAUUAAGAUAAUUAUUAGAGUUAGUCAAAAGAGGAACAGCCCUUUUGACUAAGAAAACAAUCUUACAAGGAGGUUAAGGAUCAAAAUAUUAAAGGUAUUUACUUGGGUGGGCUUAGAAGCAGCCAACCCUAAAGAAAGCGUCAUAGCUCGCAUACAUAGAAUUAAGCCCUUUAUACCAAUAUAAAUAUCCCAAUCCCCUAAAACUUAACAGGCCUUUCCAUAUAAUUAUGGAAGUGAUAAUGCUAAAAUGAGUAACAAGAGACCUUAACAUCUCUCUCUAUACAUAAGUGUAAAUUAGAACGAACCCACACUAAACAUUAACGGCCCCAAGCUAAAGAGGGUAAUGUGCCAAAAAUAACCAACCAGAAAUAUACACAAAAUUUUACCGUUAAUCCUACACUGGUGUGUUAAAUGGGAAAGACUAAAAGAGAAAGAAGGAACUCGGCAAAUAUUGUAGCCUCGCCUGUUUACCAAAAACAUCGCCUCUUGCAAAUUUAAGAAUAAGAGGUCACGCCUGCCCGGUGACAUACAAGUUUAACGGCCGCGGUAUCCUAACCGUGCAAAGGUAGCGCAAUCACUUGUCUUUUAAAUGAAGACCAGUAUGAACGGCACAACGAGGGCUACACUGUCUCCUUUCUCUAGUCAGUGAAAUUGAUCUCCCCGUGCAGAAGCGGGGAUAUACAUAUAAGACGAGAAGACCCUGUGGAGCUUUAGAUGUAAAAGUAGACUAAAUUAAUUUAAUACUAACAACAGAAACAAACAAAUUAGAUACUACUUAGAUAUCUUUGGUUGGGGCGACCCUGGGGAAAAAAAGAACCCCCAUGUGGACUGGGAUACUUUCCUAAAAGCUAGAACCCUUAUUCUAACUAACAGAAAUUCUGACCUUAUGAUCCGGCAAAGCCGAUUAACAGACCAAGUUACCCCAGGGAUAACAGCGCAAUCCUCUUUUAGAGUCCCUAUCGACAAGAGGGUUUACGACCUCGAUGUUGGAUCAGGACAUCCUAAUGGUGCAGCCGCUAUUAAGGGUUCGUUUGUUCAACGAUUAAUAGUCCUACGUGAUCUGAGUUCAGACCGAAGCAAUUCAGGUCAGUUUCUAUCUAUAAAAUGAUUUUUUCUAGUACGAAAGGACCGAAAAGAAGGGGUCCAUGCUAAUAGUACACCCCACCCAUAACUGUUGAAAGAAACUUAAAUGGAUAAGUGGGCAUAAUACUCUGUCAAAAAAAAUGACAU